CCUACGGGAGGCAGCAGUGAGGAAUAUUGGUCAAUGGACGAGAGUCUGAACCAGCCAAGUAGCGUGAAGGAUGACUGCCCUAUGGGUUGUAAACUUCUUUUAUAAAGGAAUAAAACGAGGCACGUGUGCCUUUUUGCAUGUACUUUAUGAAUAAGGAUCGGCUAACUCCGUGCCAGCAGCCGCGGUAAUACGGAGGAUCCGAGCGUUAUCCGGAUUUCUUGGGUUUAAAGGGAGCGUAGAUGGGUUGUUAAGUCAGUUGUGAAAGUUUGAGGCUCAACCGUAAAAUUGCAAUUGAUACUGGCAGUCUUGAGUACAGUUGAGGUAGGCGGAAUUCGUGGUGUAGCGGUGAAAUGCUUAGAUAUCACGAAGAACCCCGAUUGCGAAGGCAGCUUACUAAACUGUGACUGACAUUGAUGCUCGAAAGUGUGGGUAUCAAACAGGAUUAGAUACCCCUGUAGUC
rnacentral:rRNA from 1 species